GCUGACUUUAAUGUUUGAUCUGGUGAAGCAAGGUCAUUUGACUAAGAAAACAAGGUUAUCUUGAUAAAAUGCCUCGCUCUUUCUCUCACUCCCUCUCUCUUACAAAUGCAGUCUGAACUCUUUCUGUUACCCAGCUCCUCUCAAACAGCAUACAGAAUCCAAGACAGCAAAUGAGCUGUGACAUAGAGCAACUAAGGUGUCAGCCUGGAUGGAGCUGGGACCCACAGGAAGGUCUCACUUUUCUUUUGGAGAGGGGCUCAGUUCCCACCAGGCUCCUCAAAUGCCAACACAUGCAUCAGGAGCGCAUAAAACUGGAGCUGUCUUCAGCACAAUCAGAGCCCCCUGGAGAGAUGAAAACAUUGGCAAUUGUAACUGAGAAGAGUGAUCUGCCGAGGACAGUGAUCAGGCAUCCACCAUGAUCACUGUAUUGUCUUCUCUCAUUUGAAAAUAUCCACGUCUAAAAUGUUUAUCUAAACCGAAAAAUUGUUUCAUUUUUGCCAGAACAAAUUAAAUUGCAUUUGUCUUAUUUUGCUGUUUUUGUUCAUUUCAUGGGGUUCAGGUACUAUACUCACGUUGAGAGUC
rnacentral:lncRNA from 1 species